rnacentral:lncRNA from 1 species
AAUUCAAUUUUGAAAUUCUUCUCUGAAAUCUCUCUUAUAUUUUAUUGAAACACUUUUCUUCUUAGCAUAUUUUUUUUCAUCACUCUAAUUUCAAAAAUUGAUUCAAUUUAUGAUAUCAAUCCACUAAAUGUUGUGGAUAUCCAUGUAUUUUGUCCAAAUUCACAUAUUCGCCCUAUGAUAAUUUCAAGUUCUAACGGUUUAUGGCAUGAACAUCAUAGAUCUAACCAAGAGAAAAUUAGAUAAUGUAAUUUCUUUUUUUGUGGAGAAUGUCCAUUUGUUGGGUUUUUUUUUCAUCUAUAAUAUAUGUUAUGUUCGGUUUCAUAUUCUAUUGAAAUUUUGCCUUUAGAUUGUUGGUUAGUCAUGUUUGAAUAUUUUUGUAAGAUUUUGUUUUGUUUGUGUCUGCUUCCCAUUUGUACUUAUUCCAUAAAAGAUUUUGAUUUAUUGUGUUAUUUCCUUUUGGUUGCCAUUGUAACACUAAGAUCAAUUAUUUUCAUAUCUAUGAUCUUUUGUUUAAUUUAUUCA